GUAUCAGCGGGCAGCAGCUGCAGCCAGACUCCCAGCUGGGCAACCCCCACUCACCACGUAGCCCUCGAUGAGGCGUGCAGCUCCCGCCCAGGCACUACAGCACCACCCCCAGCGGCACACACACAACCCAAAUCAUCUAUGACUGGAAAUUCCUGAUGGAGUGUCAGAACUCACCUGUUGCCAAAACACCCCCAAAGGACCUGCCAGCCAUUUCUGGGUCACUAGCCCUACCAGCGGUGAGCCUCCCAUGCAAGCCAGCCAGAGCCACCACCUGCACAGCAGCCCGGAAGAUAAGCGGGCAGGCGGUGAA
rnacentral:lncRNA from 1 species